rnacentral:lncRNA from 1 species
CUCUGGAUCAUAGUGGGUGCCAUAUUACCUAUUUUUUUCUUUCUAAAACGUGCUUUGUAUAUAGAAAUAGGAAGAUGAGGUAUGAGUGCCAAAUGAGACAUCUUUCCAACAAAGACAUAAUUUAGUAAAGUAAGCAGUCAUAGGUCCGAUGCUGAAAAGUAAGCUAUUAAUGACCCAAAAAUUACUUGCGUAAAACAAUCCAAACAAAAAAAAACCCGACCCAAUUAAAUAUAUAAAAGGACAAGAAAUCUAUCCCAUCAAAAAAAAAAAAUAUAUUGUAUAGGAGCCUGUAUUUCAGUGGUUGUCGUUUGUUUAUGUGUUACAUAUUUGUUUUUCGUUCAUUUUUUUUUUUUUUAUAAUUAAGGCCGUUAGUUUUCUCGUUUGAAUUGUUUUACAUUGUCAUAUCGGGGACUUUAUAGCUGACUAUGCGGUAUGGGCUUUGCUCAUUGUUGAAGGCCGUACGGUGAUCUAUAAAUGUUAAUUUCUGUGUCAUUUUGGUCUCUUGUGGACAGCUGUCUCAUUGGCAAUCAUACCACAUCUUCUUUUUUGUUAUAGAU